rnacentral:tRNA from 1 species
GCUUAUGAAAUUUUUUAGAAUAUAACUUUGAAGCAGUUAAGGAGGCUUGUCCUAUAAGCA